rnacentral:tRNA from 1 species
GGGGUUGUAGCUCAGUGGUAGAGCACUUACUUAGCAAGUGUGAGGCAAUGAGUUCGAUCCUCAGCACCACA